rnacentral:rRNA from 1 species
ACUGACACUGAGGGACGAAAGCGUGGGGAUCAAACAGGAUUAGAUACCCUGGUAGUCCACACUGUAAACGAUGAGUACUAGUUGUUGGAGUCGGUGUAAAGGCUCUAGUGGCGCAGCUAACGCGAUAAGUACUCCGCCUGGGGACUACGGCCGCAAGGCUAAAACUCAAAGACCCGCACAAGCUGGGGAGCAUCUGGUUUAAUUUGAUGCAACGUGAAGAACCUUACCUGGUCUUGACAUCCUGCGAUCUUUCUAGAGAUAGAUUGGUGCCUUCAGGAACGCAGUGACAGGUGCUGCACGGCUGUCGUCAGCUCGUGUUGUGAA